CAUUUGUGAUUCGGAUGAUGCGGCUCUAGGUGGAUUGACUAUGAAAGGGUGAGCCUGCCAUUUGCUUACCUUCUCUCUAGUUGGGGCUGCCUGCGAAACUGGCCGGUCCUCUCCAAACGCUUGCAUUCUGCUGGGAGGAGGAAGAAGUCAGGAGCCGUCUCUCGGAUGGUAUUGGCCUCUGUUUCGCAAGUGCCAAGUGCUAAGGCACAGCAGGCUACGGGCGACUCUGUUGCCUUCAGUCACGGGCUGGUUCUUUGAGGGAAAGUUGUGGCCAAUAUUGGUGAGUCCCAGGAAUGUUCUGCUUAUGUGCUACUUUAUGGUCCCUGGACCUCCUUGCAUUCUAGAACCUUGUUAGAAAGGAGCUGCGGUGAUUAAGAGGCUGUGGAGUAUGCAGCCUGGCUGAGCAGAUGAGCCCCGAUACCUUUCCCCGUUCCCUUAAAAACUGCUAAUUGAUGAAUGCUGCAGAAAACAGACGCUCUGCUAAUGAAAUGGUGAUGACAAAAUAGGUAUCAGGAAAGGCAUUUAUUGCCUGUAAGCGCCAUCAGCUUCCUUCUGAGAGAGAGUGUGGCUUUGUAGUGUAGUUUUUUAAAAAGUAAUAUGCUAAUGUUUUAUUCUAAAUCGGCCGGUGCUGAGUAUCUCCAGGAAAAUGGGUUCCAUAAGAAGUGACAUCCUCCUCGAACUGAAAGAUUCUCAAGCUGAUGGAGUGAGUGAUGGAGUGGGUUGCCAACUGUAGUCACUCCACUCAGCGCAGAAUGGCUGCAGGGAAUAUAUUCAGACAUGCCCAAAGAAGUCUGCCCAGGGUGAAACAAAUACCUUUGAGGUUUAAAUCAGGUGUGUGAAGAAUGUUGGAAACAUGAGUUUUUGGGGUGCUUUCUUGCAUUUGUGUUUGUCAAGGAAAGUGGGAAGGCUGGUGGUCCUUGCCUGUUCUUCCAACUCUUUUAAUGCUGUAAAACACACCCCAAAUUUAACCCACUCUCUCUCCUAGGAUUUAAUGUAGUCUACUCCAUUGAAGGUCCUCUCGCUCAUCAAAGCUUUAGAUUUUAAAAGCAUGAUUGUGGUUUUUUUUUUCAAAUAUAUUCAAAAAGGUCUUGAUUUUGGAAAUAUUUUGCAAUUGUGAAUUGAACUUGAAUAGGCUUUACCAUUUGUCUAUUUCCUUAGAAAAAUAAUUGCUAUUUGUAAUACAUGAGUUAGCUGCCAGAAACCUAAAAAAAAUUAUGUUCAAAUUAACUUUGAAAAUAGAUGUUCACAUUGCCUUUAAACAGUUGUUAAAUGGCUCAGAAAAAUCAAGCAAAGUUAACAUUCUUAGCAAAUAUAAACCACAUUUCCUUACAGGAUGAAGUUGUGCUUAAUAGCCUAUGCUUAAUUCAUUCAGAAACUACACGAUUUUUGUUGCUAUAUUUUGUUAGAAAGGAAGGAGAGGCUGUUUCUACAGGUGUCUUCAAAAAAUCAAUACUGAGCCACGGAUUAUUGGAUCCCACAGAACCAUGGAGACUUGGCAGUGAAAUUCUUCCAAAGCAUUCCAUCCGUGCAGGCAGACGGUGUUCCUAGGUUUGGAAAUAUAAAUCCCACGGGAAGUCAGCUGAAGAACAUUUUAUGCAUCACUCAUCUUAUUAUGAGCCCUGUGCUGUUCCAUCUCUCUACAAGAUUGGCUGAAACAACAACAACAAAAGUUGUUUACAAUUGGUACUCUAACUUUGGAUCACCUAGUUAAUAUUCUGGCUCUUAUUACACCCAAAGACAGUGUUCUAUAUAAAAAGACCAAUGGAAGGAUGCUAAUGCAUUAUUAAUAAAAUCACAGGGAAAAUGAAACAUUUUGGAUAUCACAUCUGAUGAGUGGGUGACUGAUCGUCCCCGCCAGCUGGCUAAUAUCAUAAUUAACAAAGUUGCUACUACGUCUGCAAAGUUUAAUCGAAAAAUUUGCCAGUGAUAUGAUGGCAUUGUCACAGAGAUCACAAGGGACACGGAGCCGACUUUUGCUGGAGGUGGAACGGCAGAGCUGUGUAGGCAAGAUGAGAAAUUGAGAACUUGUUCAGCCAAAGGUCAUGCUUCAUAUCACCCACCAGGGAGGAUCAUCUCUCAUAAAAACUUUCAAAUUUGAUUUUGAAAAUUAUUCAGGAAAAUUGAAGCCAUGCUAUCUCCCAAAGUUGGGGAGAAUAUGCUCUGGAGAAUCCUAUAAUUCGCAGAAAAUGGACUAGGAUAACAUUUGUGUUCUCCUGCUGCCAAAGUCCCUCGAGAAGGACAGCCAGCUACAGAAAACAUUUAACAUUGUGGCACCGAAAUGUUGGAAGAAUGAUUAAAAUAAAAAUCUAAUCAUAGGCUUUUAGAAACCACUAAAUUACUAUGCUUGCUCCAAAAAAAGGAAGAAGGAAAGGCCGUUUUCAUUCUCCACAGCAUCCUAGGAGGCUAAUAAUGAAGGGGCCAGGGAAGGAGGCCAGUGCUGCAAGGGUUAUCUCACAACCUCAGAUGCUGGAUAAGUCGAAGGAGGCAGAGUCGCUUUGGGAUGACAUUCAGAAAGGCUGGAGUGAUUAUUUGGAAGAGAAAAGCCUGCCUAUUCUUUCCAAGGUGCAUGACUAUUCCCCUGACCUGCCCAUCCAAUGGUCCAAUGAUGAAUUAUUAGAAACCUGCCAUAGACAAAGGAUGCACUCGGAGCCCCACCACACCUAAAGCCACGCUUUGAAGGAUCUGCCAAGCUCACUUUUAAUCAUGAGAAAGAAAUUACCCACAUGGAGUCAGCAGAAAAUGAGAAAGUAGAGCUCGUGCUGUGAAUAAUUCCAGCAAGUGCCAAGGGGCUAGUUGAGGAAUGGCUUCAUGAGGUGAAUAUCUUUAGCUUGUAUUUAGGGUUUGGUUAGCGUAUAAUCAUUUUCUCUUCUAGGAGCAAUGACUAUCAUAAGUGUAUUUCCUAACUAAAGAGUGCUUUGAGCAUGUGUCUGGAUGUUGACAGAUUUAAUACCAGUCUUGCCCUUGUUGUUAUUUACUAUGACUAAUUUUACAUUUGCGAAUAUGCAGAAAUCAAUUUAGGCGCAAAGGCUCUCAGAGCCAGUGACUGUCGCUCGCUGUCCGUGUUUGUGUGUGUCGCUGUGAGUGCACGUUCAGUAGUUCAUGUCUCCGUGUACAUUUGUGCCCUUGUUUUCGUCUUCUCUCUGUUGUGAACGUAGGUUGGGAGAAUUAGCCAACCAGUGGGUUCGCAGACGUGCUCCAAGGCCUUUCAUUUGAUUUUUGGAACAGGAAAAAAAGAACGUGUCACCUUGUGAUUAAUGGUCAAUCUGAAUUUUCAAUUCAUAUGAAAGGAGGAAGGGGUAUGUGUCAAGUGACAAGACUAACCUUUUUCCUUUGGGACGAGCAUGAUUCAAAUUAAACAUCGCUUUCACUGUGAAAUUAGUUUGAAGGCUUCUCUCCCUCUCUCUCUUUUUUUUUUUUUUUUUUUGGUGCCUGGUUUAACCCCUUGGAGGCUGCUCUUUCAGAGAGAAUUCCCUGCCAUCCCAGCUCUGUGCCUGAAUUUAUUCCCAGCAGCCCAUAGUUCCUCUUCCUUUGUUGCCUUUUUCUAAAGAUUAGGUCCCAAAAAAGAAUAUUUUACUAUUUCAAAAGCUUCAUUACUCACAAGAUAAGAUUCUCCCUAAAACAUGCUAUUUAAUGUCUACAUAAAUGAAAUAAAUACAUAAAUAAAUAGCAUUCUUCUUUUUUUAAAGACGAGUUUGCCAGGGAGGAAGGAGAAAGAAAGAAAGGGAUCCUUUUGGAAAGAAUGUAGAGUGCCCCCUGCUUUGUGCCAGUGUUUGCUGGCUGAGUAAGCCACAGCGGAAAAACAGCCGCUAAAACCCCCAAGUUCUCUCCGGAGCCUCUUGUUUCCCACAUAACUGAGUCACAGGAUCGCCAUGCCAACCUGAAGCAAUUUGGCUUUAAGCAAGCAUGUGCCUGGACGUUUUGAAACCACCCUUUAGUACUGGUUCAAAGGACCCAGGUCCAAACUUGUAGAAAGAACCUGCUGUCCGAGAAAACGGGGGGCUGCUUUCCCAUCUGUGCACAUCCUUGGUGCCACGUGAAGCAUCAGAUGUGAUGUGUGAUUGAGUCCCUUCCUGGAGUUUGGUGGCUUGUGGGGAAAGGAAAGUAUUGAAAUGACUAAGAAACAGUGCUAUUCUUGCAGUAUAUCUUCAAAAGGAAAUUGUUAGGGGUCUUUAAUCCCUUCCCUACAGGAAGGAGAGGUGUGGCAGGGUGGGGAGCCGGGCCAGCAGGGGUGAGGUAUGGGAGAGGAGGUGAGCCACUGGGGGGUGGCUUAUGGGGGACGGAGCUGAGCCAGCUAGGGGAAGAGGCAGAGGUGGAGUCGGGGAGGUAGAAGGUGGAGGCAGAUGAGCAGCUGUGUUUAUUUUAAAACAUAUCAUUUAACCCUCACCUAAAAACAAAUUGGAGAGGUUUGGGAGUGCAUUAAUCUGGACCCAAUUAGCAUGUCUUUCUCCUUCAAAAGUGCAACCUGAGAUUAAUGAAUAUAAACUAGAGUUUCAGAUGCAGUGCUUAAAUCAUUUGCAUGUUUCCUGCAUGAUAAUUGAAUUUAUGUAUGCACUUCCUUUCAUUUAACUAUUUCCAGUCUCUUCCUUGUGAUUCACAUAAAUCAAGAUUUCGUUGUAAUAACCUCUAUGGAAAUAGCUUUGCCCUAGACUUUACUCCUAAUGAGGGACUCAAGUUCUUGUUUCUUAUGUGAGUUUGAAUAAUACAAUGUUUUUUUAAAAAGCAGAGGGCAGUGCUUAGUAGUCUGGAAUGCUGUUUCAGGGGUCGGUAAAUAGGCACCUCAAGUUUAUCUAUGAAAGGACAGAAAAACCGUGGGACCUCAUGGUAUUGAGUUUUCAGUGGUCCCAGAGAAUUGGGUUUCAGCAUGGACACUUAGAAGUGUAUUAAUAAUACCAAGAGCAAUGUCACUUUAAUGUAGCAUAAAGAAUGAUCUUGGUCUUUGGACCUGAGUUAGUUAGAUCACUGAGAGAUUUCAGUGCACAGUAUUGGUUUCUGGCAUAGUUAGAUAUUUGCUUUUGUAGAUAGGGGUGGGGAAUGGUGUCAGCCUCUAUGAAAGGCUCUAGAUGAGCAGUUAGCACUUGUGAUCCCUGAGCAUGCCAUCCUUUCUUCUUUCCUUUUUGUAAUUUGGGUGUAGAGAAGGCUUAGUGGUUACAUAGUGCAAGCAGGUGCUAAGGUCUUCACUCCCCACCUGCCCCCAAAUGAAAAGUCUAAAAGCCGGCAGUUGGGUUUGUAAGAAAGCUUUCCGGGGAAGAUGUUGCAGCAAGAGGCUUGAAAUAAUUCCCCUGGUUUCAGUUUGCAUCAAUGAUUUGUCUGUCUUCUGUCUUGCCUUAUGUGUUUCCAAGUUCAAUGUCAAAGUGGUGAGCUUUACUCCAGGAAUUCUCCCAGUGUCUUUUGUUUGGUGAAUUCGAUGGUUGAAUGUUGCUGAGUGUCUCCUGGUCUUGUUUCCUGGUCCUUGUAGCUCAGAAUGUCGUUGAAGGAUAAAAAUCUUGUUAAUUCGUGAUGUCACAAUUUAAGUGUGCUUCCUGUCACUUACAUGUAGUUUAAAAUGUUCCUUAAUGUAGCAUGAAAUGAUUGGUUAGCUUUGAAAUGGUUGUGAAGUCAUGUGAAGAAAAUAAGUUUUGCAUCCGACCAAGAUCAAUUCACUCUAGUGCUUUAUGGCUUUUUAUUCCUAUGUGAUAGUAAUAAAGUCUCAUGUAGGGAUGGAAGCCAUGAAAUACAUUGUGAAAAAUCAUCAACUAAGAAGGGGCCAUCAGUAUAGAGACCGGUAGCCUGUACGGCUGUGAACGUGAUGGAGACAUGACUUAGUGGAUGGUGCUGGUACGUGCUUGGUGUUCCAUUGAGUUUCUUUAUCCUUAGGUUUUGACAGCUAAGGAACCUAGGUUACAAGAGUUGAUUCAUAUGUACAUUUGGGUUUGCACGUGUCUGUUUAUCAUACAUUUUCCUCCGUUUUCUAUUAACGAACAUGCUUUAGGGGAACUAUUAAUAGCCCACCAGUCUGGCAGGCAAUAUUCAAUCUUUCCAUGCCUUCUCUCACCAACUGUUGAGGUCUUUCUUUUGAAACAAAGAAGAAGUAGACAAAUCAGACUUGUCCUCUUGGAAUGUGGUCCAGAUUUCUCUACUCCCAAGCACCAAAAAAGGUAUACAUUGGAGGGGGCUGGAUCAACAUCCCCUAAGAGUUGUUUUCCACUUGAGGGUGGGGUGUGGUGGAGAAACAUCUGAUGUGACUGGAAAGAAGGAGGACUUAGGAGUGGAAUUGGGUUCUAAUCUCUCUGCCACUUACUUCAACUAUGUGACCUGGGACAAGUGAUUUAAACUCUGUGAGCCUCUUUCUUUAUGUUUAAAAUGGGGAAAAGUAAUAGUUACCUUGCAGGGCUGUUGUGAGGAUUAAAUGAAGUAAUGCAUAAAUACGGUGCCUGACAAAGUAUUGAACAUCACUUAUUUUUUUUAAAAAAAGCUCAUGAAAUAUUAGUUUCUCUUUCUUCCUCUCUAUUUUCUCCCCGUUUCCUUCUCUCUUCCUCCUAUGCCCUCCCCUCCCUUCAGAUGUUAACCUAAAACAGCACCUUUGGAUCUAAGCAGCAUCUUUGAGAAAGACAGACUUCUUCAAGCAUGUCUAGUUGCACCUUCUGUCCAUACGUGACUUGAGUGCCUAGGUUGGAUCAAAAGUUUAAUUUUGUUUAACUGAACUGUUUAAUGUUGACUAUUGACCUAUAUUCAUUUUUACUGUUUUCUGUAUAUGUAUUUUUGCUUGAGCUGUUUUAAUAUUGACUAUUGACCUAUACUUAUUUCUACUGGUUUUCUGUAUCUUUCUCAAUGAAAAUUCUAAUAAAAAUUAUUUUUGUUAUCUUA